rnacentral:rRNA from 1 species
CAGCAGCCGCGGUAAUACGUAGGUGGCAAGCGUUGUCCGGAAUUAUUGGGCGUAAAGGGCUCGCAGGCGGUUUCUUAAGUCUGAUGUGAAAGCCCCCGGCUCAACCGGGGAGGGUCAUUGGAAACUGGGAAACUUGAGUGCAGAAGAGGAGAGUGGAAUUCCACGUGUAGCGGUGAAAUGCGUAGAGAUGUGGAGGAGCACCAGUGGCGAAGGCGACUCUCUGGUCUGUAACUGACGCUGAGGAGCGAAAGCGUGGGGAGCGAACAGGAUUAGAUACCCCGGUAGUCCCUGUCUCUUAUAC